rnacentral:lncRNA from 1 species
AUCUCUAUGUGUUCCCAUGUAAGUGAACGAGCAAGAGGGGUGUUGAUGCUCAAAACUGGUGAGGUUAACAAAGACCAAAAUGGUUGUGUGUUGGCCCUCGAUGGGCUAAAUAACAAUAUUUAAGUGGUUCAUUUCUCAAAACUCGGCUACAUCCAUUGAGAUUUCUGUAUAUAUUGACUAAGAAGUUACAAAUAGCGUCUGACUUACUACAGUCUCUUUACAAAUAGUGUCAGUCUUAAUACAGUCUUUUUUUCUCUCAAUUCAUCUAAGAGUGCUCAUCCUCUUUAUAU